rnacentral:rRNA from 1 species
GACGAACGCUGGCGGCGUGCUUAACACAUGCAAGUCGAACGGUGAAGGGAUCAGCUUGCUGGUUCUGGAUGAGUGGCGAACGGGUGAGUAACACGUGAGUAACCUGCCCCCUUCUUCUGGAUAACCGCAUGAAAGUGUGGCUAAUACGGGAUAUUCUGGGUCUGUCGCAUGAUGGGUCUGGGAUAGAUAUUGUUUCGGUGGGGGAUGGGCUCGCGGCCUAUCAGCUUGUUGGUGGGGUGAUGGCCUACCAAGGCGGUGACGGGUAGCCGGCCUGAGAGGGUGGACGGUCACACUGGGACUGAGACACGGCCCAGAGUGCUACGGGAGGCAGCAGUGGGGAAUAUUGCACAAGGGGCGCAAGCCUGAUGCAGCGACGCCGCGUGAGGGAUGGAGGCCUUCGGGUUGUAAACCUCUUUCGCCAGUGAAGCAGGCCUGCUCCUUGUGGGUGGGUUGACGGUAGCUGGAUAAGAAGCGCCGGCUAACUACGUG